AGAGUUUGAUCAUGGCUCAGAUUGAACGCUGGCGGCAGGCCUAACACAUGCAAGUCGAACGGUAACAGGAAACAGCUUGCUGCUUCGCUGACGAGUGGCGGACGGGGGAGUAAUGUCUGGGAAACUGCCUGAUGGAGGGGGAUAACUACUGGAAACGGUAGCUAAUACCGCAUAACGUCGCAAGACCAAAGAGGGGGACCUUCGGGCCUCUUGCCAUCGGAUGUGCCCAGAUGGGAUUAGCUAGUAGGUGGGGUAACGGCUCACCUAGGCGACGAUCCCUAGCUGGUCUGAGAGGAUGACCAGCCACACUGGAACUGAGACACGGUCCAGACUCCUACGGGAGGCAGCAGUGGGGAAUAUUGCACAAUGGGCGCAAGCCUGAUGCAGCCAUGCCGCGUGUAUGAAGAAGGCCUUCGGGUUGUAAAGUACUUUCAGCGGGGAGGAAGGGAGUAAAGUUAAUACCUUUACUCAUUGACGUUACCCGCAGAAGAAGCACCGGCUAACUCCGUGCCAGCAGCCGCGGUAAUACGGAGGGUGCAAGCGUUAAUCGGAAUUACUGGGCGUAAAGCGCACGCAGGCGGUUUGUUAAGUCAGAUGUGAAAUCCCCGGGCUCAACCUGGGAACUGCAUCUGAUACUGGCAAGCUUGAGUCUCGUAGAGGGGGGUAGAAUUCCAGGUGUAGCGGUGAAAUGCGUAGAGAUCUGGAGGAAUACCGGUGGCGAAGGCGGCCCCCUGGACGAAGACUGACGCUCAGGUGCGAAAGCGUGGGGAGCAAACAGGAUUAGAUACCCUGGUAGUCCACGCCGUAAACGAUGUCGACUUGGAGGUUGUGCCCUUGAGGCGUGGCUUCCGGAGCUAACGCGUUAAGUCGACCGCCUGGGGAGUACGGCCGCAAGGUUAAAACUCAAAUGAAUUGACGGGGGCCCGCACAAGCGGUGGAGCAUGUGGUUUAAUUCGAUGCAACGCGAAGAACCUUACCUGGUCUUGACAUCCACGGAAGUUUUCAGAGAUGAGAAUGUGCCUUCGGGAACCGUGAGACAGGUGCUGCAUGGCUGUCGUCAGCUCGUGUUGUGAAAUGUUGGGUUAAGUCCCGCAACGAGCGCAACCCUUAUCCUUUGUUGCCAGCGGUCCGGCCGGGAACUCAAAGGAGACUGCCAGUGAUAAACUGGAGGAAGGUGGGGAUGACGUCAAGUCAUCAUGGCCCUUACGACCAGGGCUACACACGUGCUACAAUGGCGCAUACAAAGAGAAGCGACCUCGCGAGAGCAAGCGGACCUCAUAAAGUGCGUCGUAGUCCGGAUUGGAGUCUGCAACUCGACUCCAUGAAGUCGGAAUCGCUAGUAAUCGUGGAUCAGAAUGCCACGGUGAAUACGUUCCCGGGCCUUGUACACACCGCCCGUCACACCAUGGGAGUGGGUUGCAAAAGAAGUAGGUAGCUUAACCUUCGGGAGGGCGCUUACCACUUUGUGAUUCAUGACUGGGGUGAAGUCGUAACAAGGUAACCGUAGGGGAACCUGCGGUUGGAUCACCU
rnacentral:rRNA from 1 species